AUGAACGCUGGCGGCGUGCCUAAUACAUGCAAGUCGAGCGAACAGAUGAGGAGCUUGCUCCUCUGACGUUAGCGGCGGACGGGUGAGUAACACGUGGAUAACCUACCUAUAAGACUGGGAUAACUUCGGGAAACCGGAGCUAAUACCGGAUAAUAUAUUGAACCGCAUGGUUCAAUAGUGAAAGACGGUUUUGCUGUCACUUAUAGAUGGAUCCGCGCCGCAUUAGCUAGUUGGUAAGGUAACGGCUUACCAAGGCAACGAUGCGUAGCCGACCUGAGAGGGUGAUCGGCCACACUGGAACUGAGACACGGUCCAGACUCCUACGGGAGGCAGCAGUAGGGAAUCUUCCGCAAUGGGCGAAAGCCUGACGGAGCAACGCCGCGUGAGUGAUGAAGGUCUUCGGAUCGUAAAACUCUGUUAUUAGGGAAGAACAAAUGUGUAAGUAACUAUGCACGUCUUGACGGUACCUAAUCAGAAAGCCAUGGCUAACUACGUG
rnacentral:rRNA from 1 species